GAUGAACGCUGGCGGCGUGCUUAACACAUGCAAGUCGAACGGAAAGGCCCAAGCUUGCUUGGGUACUCGAGUGGCGAACGGGUGAGUAACACGUGGGUGAUCUGCCCUGCACUUCGGGAUAAGCCUGGGAAACUGGGUCUAAUACCGGAUAGGACCACAUUUUGGAUGGUGUGGUGGAAAGUUUUUCGGUGUGGGAUGAGCUCGCGGCCUAUCAGCUUGUUGGUGGGGUAAUGGCCUACCGAGGCGUCGACGGGUAGCCGGCCUGAGAGGGUGUACGGCCACAUUGGGACUGAGAUACGGCCCAGACUCCUACGGGAGGCAGCAGUGGGGAAUAUUGCACAAUGGGCGCAAGCCUGAUGCAGCGACGCCGCGUGGGGGAUGACGGCCUUCGGGUUGUAAACUCCUUUCGCUAGGGACGAAGCGUUAUGUGACGGUACCUGGAGAAGAAGCACCGGCUAACUACGUG
rnacentral:rRNA from 1 species